UACAGAGGGGGCAAGCGUUGUUCGGAAUUACUGGGCGUAAAGGGCGCGUAGGCGGACCUGCAAGUCGGGGGUGAAAGCCCGAGGCUCAACCUCGGAACUGCCUUCGAUACUGCGGGUCUCGAGUCCGGGAGAGGUGAGUGGAAUUCCUAGUGUAGAGGUGAAAUUCGUAGAUAUUAGGAAGAACACCAGUGGCGAAGGCGGCUCACUGGCCCGGUACUGACGCUGAGGCGCGAAAGCGUGGGGAGCAAACAGG
rnacentral:rRNA from 1 species